rnacentral:rRNA from 1 species
CCAGCAGCCGCGGUAAUUCCAGCUCCAAUAGCGUAUAUUAAAGUUGUUGCAGUUAAAAAGCUCGUAGUUGGAUUUCUGUUAAUACCUUAUAUAUAAUAUUUUUUUUUAAAUAUUAUUAUGUAAGAUUAACAUAAUUCAUAUUUUUUAAGACUGAAUUUUUAGUUUUGAUAAUAUGAAAUUUUACUUUGAGAAAAUUAGAGUGCUUAAAGCAGGCUUUUGCCUUGAAUACUCCAGCAUGGAAUAAUAAUAAAAGAUUUUUAUCUUUUUUUUAUUGGUUCUAAGAUAAAAAUAAUGAUUAAUAGGGACAGUUGGGGGCAUUUGUAUUUAACAGUCAGAGGUGAUAUUCUUAGAUUUGUUAAAGACAAACUAAUGCGAAAGCAUUUGCCAAGGAUGUUUUCAUUAAUCAAGAACGAAAGUUAGGGGAUCGAAGACGAUCAGAUACCGUCGUAGUCUUAACCAUAAACUAUGCCGACUAGAGAUUGGAGGUUGUU